rnacentral:rRNA from 1 species
GACGAACGCUGGCGGCGUGCCUAAUACAUGCAAGUAGAACGCUGAAGAGAGGAGCUUGCUCUUCUUGGAUGAGUUGCGAACGGGUGAGUAACGCGUAGGUAACCUGCCUUGUAGCGGGGGAUAACUAUUGGAAACGAUAGCUAAUACCGCAUAACAAUGGAUGACACAUGUCAUUUAUUUGAAAGGGGCAAUUGCUCCACUACAAGAUGGACCUGCGUUGUAUUAGCUAGUAGGUGAGGUAACGGCUCACCUAGGCGACGAUACAUAGCCGACCUGAGAGGGUGAUCGGCCACACUGGGACUGAGACACGGCCCAGACUCCUACGGGAGGCAGCAGUAGGGAAUCUUCGGCAAUGGGGGCAACCCUGACCGAGCAACGCCGCGUGAGUGAAGAAGGUUGUCGGAUCGUAAAGCUCUGUUGUAAGUCAAGAACGAGGGUGAGAGUGGAAAGUUCACACUGUGACGGUAGCUUACCAGAAAGGGACGGCUAACUACGUG